rnacentral:lncRNA from 1 species
CUGGUUUUAACUUUGCACGCACACCACAUUCCCUACACAAAUAAAACUUACACACACAAAAAACCCACGACACUUUUUCACGGAAUUCACUUCUCUUUAAUUCCUCUUCGAAGAAUCAUCAAGCAAACAAUUGGUAAUUAUUGAAUAGCAUUGCUUCACCCAUCAAUUUCAUCUCCUACGCAUCAUUUAAGCUAAGGAAUUCAAGGUACUCUUUAACUUCUAUUUACUUUCGCUCCAUACAUGUGAUUACUUUGUUUUUAUUGGACAAAAGCGUAUAAUUGAGGAGCAUUGGCUUAGAAAGAUUAAGGUGUACUGAAUUGUAUUCGUGGGGUUGAAAUUUGUGGCCUGAUUGGAACCUAAAUUUCUUCAAAUUUCAUGGAAACAUAGAUUGCAUCGUAGGUGUUUGAUCAAAUGUCUAAGUAGAAACUUUUUUCUAAUUAGGGCUACUCUAGCAUUUGACAUGAUUACAAUACAUGUGGGAUCGUUUCUGGUUUUGAAAUACAUUGUUGUUAAAUUAGAAAACCCCAAAACAUACUUAGCAUCACCAUAGCUUAACAUUGCCUAAGUACUAAUCAUCUCAUGUCACCAGCUUCGUUCCCCUCUCAUCUAACUCAAACGAUCUCUGUUUGACCUCAAAAGCUGAACACGAGUAAGAUCAUCGUAAGUCCUUUUAUAUGCCAGGAGAUAGUUAGGGAAAAGUUAAAUUUUUCUUCACAUUUUUGGAUGGCGAAAGUUCUCAGUUGGCCUUGGAUUAAAACACACAAAAAUAUAUCUCUCACGUUUUGUUUAGGAAAUGUGUACUAUAUUUUCUUCAUUUAUUGAUUACACAUCCUGUAUUAUGAAAUUUUCUCGAGCAUCGCAUGAGUUUUUACACUUUGGUGUAUGAACAUUGACAUGUAGUUUAGUAGUUAGGGUGUUUCCCACUUUAUCCUACUUUUAUUUUUAUUACCUAUUAUACUUACAUUUUCUAUUUUCAUAUGUAGGUACAAAAUGCCACAAAAAAUAAAGCCCACAACUUAAGAGAAAUGGAAGUCUAAGGUUGAUGAGACAUCGAUCCGCCGUUUAUGGGCAAAUGAAAAUCUAGAUGAUGGGGGAUAUACCAUGGUUUUUGAAUGUUGAGAAUCACAAAAAUUUUGAGACAAUGUGGAAAGAUAAGAAAUUUUCUCAAGUGAGUGAGGUUAUAAUUGGUGAUUUUGAAAGAAUGCUAUUGGAGAGAAUUAUACAUCACCGUGACUGGAAAAAAGGUUAUUUGUACGCCUCAAACAACAUAUCCUACGUUGGUAAAGGAAAUUUUCGCUAUCUACUAUGUUGACAUUGAUAACCUAGAAUCUUCACGCAAAAAUCAAACAUGGGUUAGAGAAAAAUGGAUCCGGUUCACCCUAGCAAUAAUUGACAGAUACUAUGGGUUCUACCACACUUACAUAGAUCCCUUACUAUAGGAGCAAAACAUGGCACUGGUAGCUCAUUUUCUAUACGAUAGGGAGUUUGAGUGGGCGCUAAAUUCAUCUCAUUUUCUGUACAACAAGUUGAUUCUAGAGCUCAAACUCUUGCAUAUCAUCUUCUACACCAAGAUAUACCUUACAUCGCAGUGGACAAAAUUAAAUGAAUAAAGGACUAGGCUUCUUUACCGCAUGGCAAGAGUGCAAAAAUUGGACUUGGGAGCCCAUAUAUAUGCAUUUAUAUGGGAGUUGGCCUCAUCUAUCAAUCCUCAGUAUAGCAUUAUAUUCCUAUGCUUGAUCAGUGAGAUCUGUUUGAAAGCCGGGAUACCACUAUUGCUAAGAGAUGAAAGUGUUGCUCUAGAUGCCCCAAUUAAUGGAAGAAAAAUUGAAAAUUCAGAAGCCAGACUAAGGGGAGAAGAAAGAGCACAUAAUCUCGAGUAGACACCUCUACCACCACAGUAAGCUCUAGAUGCUAACACAAUUCUCUUUAGUAGAUAGUUGUCUCAAUUGCAGGUAAUCUAGGUGGAGUUGGUGAGAUCUAUUGGAACAAUGAUAAAUGUUUUGGAGGCAAUACAGCGGAUGCACAUGGACAUGUAGAGGAAGUUGUAAAGAGUAAGUGUACAAGUAUGAGGGUUCCAGCUAAAUGAUGAUCGGAUGUGCCAUGAUCAAAGAUCCACCACCUACGCUUAUAGUCAAGUGCAUGAGUAGAUGCAGUGCUUGAUAGUCAAUUGGAGAAGACUUACCAGAAGAUAGGCCAGAUAGCAAGAACCGUCGAGUCCUUUAGACCCGCUAUUCAUCCAGCCAGCCGGACCAACUUGAUUCCUCCACUUAUUUGAAUCCAUCCCAUCUAUUACUCAUUUAUUUAUGAAUAAUUUUGCUUUUACAUUAGGGAUAAAGUGAUAUUUUGUUUGGGGAUGGGAUAAGUAUUAUGAUACUUAUGCUAAUUAUACUUAAUUUUUCAACUGCUGAUGGAGUGUGUAUAACUAUUUAAUGGCUAAAGAAAAUUUUUGAAAAUUUCAAAAAUAG